GCACAUAGUGUGCAUAACUUUAAAGAAAAAGUAGAUAAAUGGAGAUAUGGAGACAGGACGUUAUGAGCCCUGCUCGAACCCUGUACAAUACAACUAGGUAAAUACACACACACACACAACAUGACUUUACACAACCCCCACCUUGAAAAAAAGUCUUUCUACGGUAAAACAAUUUUAUGCCCCCUUCCACUCAAACAGUCUCAUGACAAUAAAGUGAUCUGAUGGCCCCUUUCACCUCAAUCAAGUCUUGCAACCUUAGAAUAAUCCAAUACCUAUCAUUGCCUUAUCAUCCCCCCCGGAAAAAGUCUGCUUUUUGGCAUAAGCGCUGAGGCAUGUUCUUCAGACGGGAUCAGAGGUGCCAGUAAUGGGAAGGACUUAUGACCAGUGGCAGGCAUCUGUGACCGUCAGUGUAGGUGCCAGGAAAGAGGUCACAAACCCAGAAUUACACCAGUCCCCACUCACUGCUGGCUGGGCAGGGGCAGGAUGUAGGAAAAAUUUUCCACUCCGCCCUGGGAUUUUUCAGUUGUGCCAGGAGACAAGAGACUCUGGAUUGUGGGAAAGGCAAACACACAGUGCUCUACCAGCCCUGACAUGCCUGCUUGUGCCUCCACCUCAACAGGGAUGGGGUUAGCAGGAGGACUGUGGCACAUGACUUAUCCCUGCUGCAGUCCCUCACUGUGGCUCUCUUUAUUGGCUGCCGGCUGCUGGGUCACAGGUCAACAUAUGGCUCGCUCUGUGUCAGUGUGGAUGGCUUGGAGAAGAGGUCCUGUACAAUGGAUGAGAGGACAGGGCAGUUUCUCUUGAAGGUAUGGGGAGGUGAUGGAGGGGAUGAUAGAAUACCUGAUGGAGACAUGGGGCCUGCAUUGACAUCUGUGAUUACCUUGUGAUCUUUGUUAGCAAGCUGAUAUAGAGCCAGAAGCAGAGGGUAAGCAGGUUAAAUAAGAGAGGAGGAGAAGGGUUAUUGAAAGGAAGUAGGUUUUAUAGUACAGAAUUAAGACUAUUUAUACUUAUGUACCUAUGAAGAUUUGGGAAUAAGAGGUGGUUAGUUUGGGAAAUGUUGUAGUUUGAUGUGGGGACAUUGAAAGUAUAAGUGUGUUUGUAUAGUAAAUGAAUAUUGUAGUGAAAAUUAAGACAAAUGACAUCUGUGUAUUUGGAAACAUUUUGGGAGUAAAAGGUGGAUGAUUUGGGAAAUGUGGUUUGAUGAGGAUAUUGAAAUUAUAAGUUUGUUUCUGUAAAUUUUGGUGUAAGAGGUGAAUGAUUAGAGAAAUGUAAUUUCAUGAGGAACAUUGAAAGUAACUUUAUGUAAUAAGUGGAGAUUGUGAAAAUUAAGACUAUUUAUGCUUGUGUAUCAAUGAAGAUUUGGGAGUAACAGGUGGAUAGUUUGAGAAAUGUUGCAGUAUCAUGAGUGAUAUUGAAAGUAAGUUUGUGUAGUAACUUGAUAUUGUAGUGGUAUUUAAGACCAACGAUGUUUGUAUACUUAUGAAAUUUAUGGAAUGCUGAGAGAUGGAUGAUGAAAGGAAAUUGAAAUUUUGAAACUCGUUCAUUUAUGUGUAGGAAAUGUGCAAAUUAUAUUGGAAGUUU
rnacentral:misc_RNA from 1 species